GAAAAAAAAUGAAAAAAUAGAAUCCAUGAGGGGAGACUGUGUAGUAAGUAUCCUGUGAUUUCACUGUUUAUUUAGUUUCUAUUACUUUAAAACAUUU
rnacentral:ribozyme from 14 species